rnacentral:rRNA from 1 species
UACGUAGGGGGCAAGCGUUGUCCGGAAUCAUUGGGCGUAAAGAGCGUGUAGGCGGCCCGGUAAGUCUGUUGUGAAAUCCCCAGGCUUAACCUGGGAACUGCGUCGGAUACUGGUUGGCUUGAAUUCGGGAGAGGGAUGCAGAAUUCCAGGUGUAGCGGUGAAAUGCGUAGAUAUCUGGAGGAAUACCGGUGGCGAAGGCGGCUUUCUGGUCUGUAACUGACGCUGAGGCGCGAAAGCGUGGGGAGCAAACAGG